rnacentral:rRNA from 1 species
UACAGAGGGGGCAAGCGUUGUUCGGAAUUACUGGGCGUAAAGGGCGCGUAGGCGCCUUCUAAGUCGAACGUGAAAUCCCCGGGCUCAACCCGGGAACUGCGUCCGAUACUGGAAGGCUUGAAUCCGGGAGAGGGAUGCGGAAUUCCAGGUGUAGCGGUGAAAUGCGUAGAUAUCUGGAGGAACACCGGUGGCGAAGGCGGCAUCCUGGGACCGGCAUUGACGCUGAGGC